rnacentral:rRNA from 1 species
CCUACGGGAGGCAGCAGUAGGGAAUCUUCGGCAAUGGACGGAAGCCUGACCGAGCAACGCCGCGUGAGUGAAGAGGGUUUUCGGAUCGUAAAGCUCUUUUGUAAGAGAAGAACGAGUGUGAGCGUGCAAAGUUCAUACUGUGACGGUAUCUUACCAGAAAGGGAGGGCUAACUACGUGCCAGCAGCCGUGGUAAUACGUGGGUCCUGAGCGGUGUCUGGAUUUAUUGGGCGGAAAGCGAGCGAAGGCGGUUAGAAAAGUCUGAGGUUAAAGGAUGGGGCUAAACCAUAGUACGCUUUGGAUACUGUUUAACUUGAGUGCGAGAGAGGAAAGUGGAAUUCCAGGUGUAGCGGUGAAAUGCGUAGAUAUAUGGAGGAACACCGGUGGCGAAGGCGGCUCGCUGGCUUGUAACUGACGCUGAGGCUCGAAAGCGUGGGGAGCAAACAGGAUUAGAUACCCUAGUAGUC